rnacentral:rRNA from 1 species
GAUGAACGCUAGCGGCGUGCCUAAUACAUGCAAGCCGAGCGAACAGUCUUGGAUCUUUUUCCUCUUAAGUUAGCGGCCGACGUACGAGUACCACGUGGGUAACCAACCUAUAAGUCUCUGAUAACUUCGGGAACCCGAGGCUAAUACCUGAUACUUUAUUUAUCCGCUUGGUUCAAUUAUUAUUGACGGCUUUGCUGUAUCUUAUAGAGGACUCCGCAACGCAUCAGAUUGGUGGGAAGGUAACGCAUUACCAAGGCAACGAUGCGUAGCCGACCUGGGAGGGUGAUCGGCCACACUGGAACUGAGCCACGGUCCAGACUACUACGGGAGGCAGCAGUAGGGAAUGUUACGCAAUGCGAGAAAGCCUGACGGAGCAACGCCGCGUCAGUGAUGAAGGUAUUCGGAUCGGAAAACUCUGCUAUUAGGGAAGAACAAAUGUGUAAGUAACUAUGCACGACUUGACGGUACCUAAUCAGAAAGCCACGGCUAACUACGUG